rnacentral:SRP_RNA from 1 species
GCCGGGUGUGGUGGCAUGUGCCUGUAGUCCCAGCUAUUUGGGAGGCUGAGGCUGGAGGAUCUCUUGAGUCCAGGAGUUCUGGGCUGUGGUGCGCCAAUUGGGUGUCUGCACUGAGUUUGGCAUCAAUAUGGUGACCUCCUGGGAGCGGGGAACCACCAGGUUGCCUAAGGAGGGGUGAACUGGCCUAGGUCGGAAACAGAGCAGGUCAAAACUCCCGUGCUGAUCAGUAGCGGGAUCGCAGCUGUGAAUAGCCACUACACUCCAGCCUGGGCAACAAGCAAGACACUGUCUCU